rnacentral:rRNA from 1 species
UUGAUCCUGCCGGACCCUACUGCUAUCGGGGUGGGACUUAAACAGGCGAGUCGAACGACUUCAAGCCAUGAUGAAGUCGUGGCACACGGCUCAGUAACACGUGGCUAACCCACCCUCGGGACGGAGACAACCCCGGGAAACUGGGGCUAAUCCCCGAUAGGCGAAGACCCCUGGAAUGGGUCCUCACCCAAAAGGCGUUAUAGUCAUGCUCUGUAACCUCGCCCGAGGACGGGGCCGCGGCCGAUCAGGUAGUUGGUGAGGUAACGGCUCACCAAGCCUAUAACCGGUACGGGCCGCGGGAGCGGGAGCCCGGAGAUGGGCACUGAGACAAGGGCCCAGGCCCUACGGGGCGCAGCCGUUGCGAAAACUCCGCAAUGCACGAAAGUGUGACGGGGCUACCCCGAGUGCCGUCCGCUGAGGAUGGCUUUUCUCUGCUGUAAGGAGGCGGAGGAAUAAGGAGAGGGCAAGUCUGGUGUCAGCCGCCGCGGUAAUACCAGCUCUCCGAGUGGUAGGGAUGAUUAUUGGGCUUAAAGCGUCCGUAGCCGGCCUUUCAAGUCUCUCGUUAAAUCCAGCGAUUCAAUCGUUGGACUGCGGGAGAUACUGUUUGGCUAGGGGGCGGGAGAAGCCGACGGUAUUCUCAGGGUAGGGGUAAAAUCCUAUAAUCCUGGGAAGACCACCAGUGGCGUAGGCGGUCGGCUAGCACGCGCUCGACGGUGAGGGACGAAAGCUGGGGGAGCGAACCGGAUUAGAUACCCGGGUAGUCCCAGCUGUAAACGAUGCGGGCUAGGUGUUGGAGCGGCUACGAGCCGCUUCAGUGCCGCAGGGAAGCCAUUAAGCCCGCCGCCUGGGGAGUACGGCCGCAAGGCUGAAACUUAAAGGAAUUGGCGGGGGAGCACCAUAAGGGGUGAAGCUUGCGGUUUAAUUGGAGUCAACGCCGG